GGGGUUGUAGCUCAGUGAUAGAGCGCUUGCCUAGCAUGUAUGAGGCACUGGGUUCAAUUCUCAGCACCA
rnacentral:tRNA from 1 species